rnacentral:rRNA from 1 species
AGCAGUAGCCGCGGGAAUACGUAGGGUGCAAGCGUUAAUCGGAAUUACUGGGCGUAAAGCGUGCGCAGGCGGUUAUAUAAGUCAGAUGUGAAAUCCCCGGGCUCAACCUGGGAACUGCAUUUGAGACUGUAUGGCUAGAGUGUGUCAGAGGGGGGUAGAAUUCAACGUGUAGCAGUGAAAUGCGUAGAUAUGUGGAGGAAUACCGAUGGCGAAGGCAGCCCCCUGGGAUAACACUGACGCUCAUGCACGAAAGCGUGGGGAGCAAACAGGAUUAGAUACCCGUGUAGUCCCUGUCUCUUAUAA